UAGGUCAUUUUCAUCAACAAAAAAAUAACAAGUAGGUCAUAAAAUGCAGCAGAUAAAUCGAAUAAAAACAAUGCAAAGUAGAGAGGGAGUUCUAGAGGUAGGUGGCGUCCACAACGGUUUCAACACUGUGGGAUCCAAAAGCUGGGCUGGCUACUUGUUAAUAUCGCCCCAAAAGCAAUGGACCAGCCUACAUUUUGGAGGAAAUCUUUGCCUUGUCGCCUAAAAAUGGUUGGCUCCAUACCAAGAGAGCGAGCCCUUCUUAAAGAGUUUCGAGGAACAUUAUUGCUCUCUGACAAAUUUUGAAAAUAUGCAUGAGGUGCCCAACCUGGAUGUCCAGAAGAGAAGAGACUAAAGAUUAAACAUGACAAUAAAGAAUAAGAAGAUUGAUGAUAAACAAAAUUCCAAGCAUUUCACUUAUAAAAGCCCCUUUGCUAGCAAAGUGUUUGAACAAUUGAUACAAGUACAACCAUAAGUUUUAAGUGCACAAAUAAGAUACAUAUUUUCACAAUUGGCUGCAAUAUUUGCUGAUUUCAUAUCCCGAGCAUAUUUUCUUAUUUUCUGUUUAGACCACCAUACAUGAAUGAAACAACAGUAUCAUUUAAAGCCACAAAAUAUGAAUCUAAAUCUUAUCCCCAAUGGCACCAAUGGAACUUCACUUUCUGUAUUUCCUACUCCAAACCACAGCUGUAGUAACCUUUC